UACGUAGGGUGCAAGCGUUAAUCGGAAUUACUGGGCGUAAAGCGUACGCAGGCGGCUAUGUAAGACAGGUGUGAAAUCCCCGGGCUCAACCUGGGAACUGCGCUUGUGACUGCAAGGCUAGAGUAUGGCAGAGGGGGGUGGAAUUCCACGUGUAGCAGUGAAAUGCGUAGAGAUGUGGAGGAACACCGAUGGCGAAGGCAGCCCCCUGGGCCAAUACUGACGCUCAUGCACGAAAGCGUGGG
rnacentral:rRNA from 1 species